AUGGAAUACCACCAGUCCUAUCCGUACUCAAACAAUGAUUUUCAAUCUCAGACAAGUCAUCUUCAUGGUGAUCAAUCAGAUCAUUACCUUACUUCUGUGCCAAGCCUCCAGUCAGUUCCUUCCCUGACCUCACAAUCCCACAACCAAGAAAAUCAGCCCACCUAUCACCACUGCCUCACCACUUUGCAAGGCCACAACUCCUACAUAUCCUCUCUCACCAUGUCUGGAAACUUCAUCUAUACCGGCUCUUCCGACAGAGAAAUCCGGUCGUGGAAGUGCAACCCUUACGUCGAGUCCAAUAACGAAAACUUGAGUGCUGAUCAUUGCAUGGUGUCUGCUGGAAAGGGAGCAGUGAAGUCCCUAGCAAUUUCAGGUGACAAGAUCUUCAGUGCUCAUCAAGAUCACAAAAUCCGAGUCUGGAAAAUCGAAAACAAUGAACCUGACCACCUAAGGUACUCGCGCUUAGCCACGUUGCCAACUCUUGGUGACCGCGCUGCUAAGCUUCUGAUGCCGAAGCACCAGGUACAAAUAAGAAGGCACAAGAAGUGCACUUGGAUCCAUCAUGUGGACACAGUCUCUGCACUGGCCUUAUCAAGGGAUGAGUCACUUCUCUAUUCUGUUUCAUGGGAUCGAACGCUCAAAGUAUGGAGCACAACAGACUUCAAAUGCUUGGAGUCAGUGAGAAAUGCACAUGAUGAUGCUAUAAAUGCAGUGGCAGUGUCAUUGGAGGAUGGACAUGUUUAUACUGGUUCAGCAGAUAAAAAAUUAAGGUGUGGAAGAAAGAGUUAGGAGAAAAGAAACAUUCUCUAAUUGCUACAUUAGAGAAGCACAAUUCUGGGGUCAAUGCACUUGCUCUGAGCAGUGAUGGUUGUGUAUUGUACUCUGGUGCAUGUGACAGGUCCAUUGUUGUUUGGGAGAAGAUAGAUAGUGAGGGUAACAUGGGUGUUGUGGGUGCGCUAAGAGGUCAUACCAAAUCAAUAUUAUGCUUAGCAGUGGUGUCAGACUUGGUGUGUAGUGGUUCUGCAGACCAAACCAUAAGAAUCUGGAGAGGGGUUGCUAGAAGUUAUUCAUGCUUGGCUAUGUUAGAAGGGCAUAAAGGUCCAGUCAAGUGUUUAACUGCUACAGUUGACCAGUGCACCACAUCUGACACAUCUAGUUAUCUCAUUUACAGCGGAGGUUUGGACUGUGACAUCAAGGUUUGGCAGGUCUUUGUUCCUUGUCAGUAGAAGACUCUUUCUCUUCUACUUGUUCUAAUCUUCAGCUAAGUCUUGCCUAUUGAGAGGAGAUCUUGUUUUUCUGCUUUCUCUUCUAUUGUGUUAUGUUAGUUUCCCUUUUCUCUAUUAUUAGUCACCUGGGUUAGGUUAGAAAUGCCUGCAUAAGAGAUAUGAAGUGUAUGAUUCAUGCGACUGUGUGAUCUUAGAGGGUGAGAUAUUGUUGAGGAAAUGGAAGUAUGAUGGAAGAAUCAUGUAGGGCUAUCAUAUAAUAAGAACA